UGAGCAAUCUGCCCUUCUCAUCGGAAUAAGCGUUGGAAACGACGUCUAAUGCCGAAUACGACCUCCUUUCGCAUGAUCGGAGGUGGAAAGCUCCGGCGGAGAAGGAUGAGCUCGCGGCCUAUCAGCUAGUUGGUGUGGGUAAUGGCCCACCAAGGCGACGAUGGGUAGCCGGCCUGAGAGGGUGACCGGCCACACUGGGACUGAGACACGGCCCAGACUCCUAGGAGG
rnacentral:rRNA from 1 species